UACGUAGGGUGCGAGCGUUUGUCCGGAAUUACUGGGCGUAAAGAGCUCGUAGGUGGUUUGUCGCGUUGUUCGUGAAAACUCACAACUCAAUUGUGGGCGUGCGGGCGAUACGGGCAGACUGGAGUACUGCAGGGGAGACUGGAAUUCCUGGUGUAGCGGUGGAAUGCGCAGAUAUCAGGAGGAACACCGGUGGCGAAGGCGGGUCUCGUGGGCAGUAACUGACGCUGAGGAGCGAAAGCGUGGGGGAGCGAACAGG
rnacentral:rRNA from 1 species